rnacentral:rRNA from 1 species
ACACGUAGGGGCCUGUCGUUGUUCGGAAUCAUUGGGCGUAAAGGGCGCGCAGGCGGCCGUCCAAGUCCGGUGUUAAAUGGUCGGGCUCAACCCGAUCAUGCGCUGGAAACUGGGCGGCUUGAGUCCCGUAGGGGAUGCCGGAAUUCCAGGUGUAGGGGUGAAAUCUGUAGAUAUCUGGAAGAACACCGAUGGCGAAGGCAGGCAUCUGGCCGGAGACUGACGCUGAGGCGCGAAGGCGCGGGGAGCGAACAGGUUUAGAUACCCUGGUAGUCCGCGCAGUAAACGAUGCGCACCAGGUGUCGGGCGGCAGCGCCCGGUACCGGAGCUAACGCGAUGAGUGCGCCGCCUGGGGAGUAUGCCCGCAAGGGUGAAACUCAAAUGAAUUGACGGGG